rnacentral:misc_RNA from 1 species
UGGGAUCCUUGAUAGUUCUUGCUCAUAUGAUCUCAUUAUUGUCAGUAUCUUCUAGUUCACAGCAGGGUUUUCCAGAGGCACUUCUUGUCCAACUUUUGAAAGCAAUGCUGCAUCCAGAUGUUGGGGUGCGUGUUGGAGCACACCAGAUAUUUUCAAUGCUUCUCAUUCCAAGCUCUAAUCAUUCACGCCAUGGAGUUGUGUCUUUGCAUUCCGGUUAUAUUUGUGAACCAAGAAGAUGGCGUUCCAAUACUGUGUCUACAUUUUCGUCUAUUGCAGCUUUACUUGAAAAGCUUCGAAGAGAGAAGGAUGGUGCCAGAAUGGAAAAACAUAAAAGUAACAGUCUUGAUGAUUGCAGAGAAAGGGAAGUUAUAGAAGAAGAUUGGAAACAGGGGCGACCCCGAAAAAAUUCCCCUAACUUUCUCAAAAUUAGUUCUAUUAUUGAUAGAACCUCUGGGACAACAAGCUUGGUUGAGGUGGAGCCUUAUGUUAUGAAACUUAGUGAGGACCAAAUAGCACAAUUGCUGUCUGCCUUCUGGAUACAAGCCAAUCUUCCAGAUAACUUGCCCUCUAAUAUUGAAGCUAUAGCUCAUUCAUUCAUGCUGACGCUUAUUUCUUCACGAUUGAAGAACCCAAGUGACGGCCUCUUGGUCCGCUUCUUUCAGCUUUCCCUAUCUCUCAGGAAUUUAUCGUUGGACCCUAACAAUGGGAUGUUAUGUCCAGCUUGCCAGAGAUCAAUUUUUGUAUUAUCAACAGGCAUGUUGAUGUUUGCUGCUAAGAUAUAUCAAAUUACUGAGUUGAAUGAUUUAGUUAAGUCGGUACUUCCAAAUGAUGUUGAUCCUUAUCUUGGCAUUAGUGAUGACCUUCAAGUGCAUGCAAAGCCUCAGGCAGAUGCAAGGGAAUAUGGAUCUGUCAGUGAUAAUCAAAUAGCCUCAUCGUUACUUCUCGAGUUGAGGAACAAACUAUUUGAAUCUGACAAGGUCAUAAUGGACACCUUAAUUGAGAAUCUAUCUAAUGCUACCGAGCUGGAGAAGGAUGACUUGGCGAGACAAUUGCAAGAACCAUUCACGCCUGAUGAUGCAUUUGUCUUCGGUCCUCAAUCAUUACUUGAUAUGGACCACAAGCAAAUGGUUUCCCAUUCUAAGGAAUCACUCUCCUUUGAUGAGGAUAUGCCAACAAGCUCGUUGAUUGAGGAUGACGCAUUUAGCGAAGCAUCAGUUGCAGACAUGUCUCGCUUCAUUCCCAAAAUGCCAUCAUCUCCUUCUGUUUCCCACAUUAUUGGCAUUGGGAAGCUUUUGGAAUCGGCACUCGAGGUAGCUGGUCAAGUGGCAGGAACAUCCAUCUCUACAUCACCUCUCCCAUACGACACCAUGGCAAAACAGUGUGAAGAUCUUGGCAAAGGCACAAGGAAGAAGCUUUCCAAUUGGUUAGCCCAUGAAACUCAUUAUGCUAGAGGAGCUGGCAAAUUUUUACCAGAAUUUCCUGCUAGCGGAUGCCCUGCGCUAGAGAAGAUUAUGCAAGGCGCUGUGAAGCCAAUGGACCCAUGCUUGGCUAUGAGGUUGCCUCCUGCUAGUCCUUUCGAUAACUUUCUUAAAGCAGCUGGAUGUUAGAAGAUGAACAACAUGCAUGUGUUCUGUUAUCAAUGUU